rnacentral:rRNA from 1 species
AGAGUUUGAUCCUGGCUCAGGAUGAACGCUGGCGGCGUGCCUAAUACAUGCAAGUCGUGCGAGAGCACCUUGAAGGACAACCUACGGUUUUCCUUCAACGACUGUCAGCAAAGCUGACCUUUACCUUCGGUUCAGGCAAGCAGUCUGCUACCUUUCCCUUUUUUGGGGGGGAAGCAGAAAAGCUUGUCCGAGCGAAGCAAGGAUCGGCUUAGCCGACUUUUCGUUGAAGGGGGGUGUCCCCCCCCUUCAAGAUGCGAAAGCGGCGGACGGGUGAGUAUCGCGUGGGAACGUACCCCAGACUGAGGGAUAAGCACCAGAAAUGGUGUCUAAUACCGCAUAACCUCUACGGAGAAAAACUUUCGAGUGGUUUGGGAACGGCCUGCGUCCGAUUAGCUAGUUGGUAGGGUAAUGGCCUACCAAGGCGAUGAUCGGUAGCUGGUCUGAGAGGAUGAUCAGCCACACUGGAACUGAGACACGGUCCAGACUCCUACGGGAGGCAGCAGUAGGGAAUCUUCCACAAUGGGCGAAAGCCUGAUGGAGCAACGCCGCGUGCAGGAUGAAGGCUUUCGGGUCGUAAACUGCUUUUAUGGGUGAAGAUUAUGACGGUAACCCAUGAAUAAGGAUCGGCUAAUUCCGUGCCAGCAGCCGCGGUCAUACGGAAGAUCCAAGCGUUAUCCGGAAUUACUGGGCGUAAAGAGAUGCGUAGGUGGUAAAUUAAGCGAAUGAUGAAAUCAUCCGGCUCAACCGGGUGCCUGUUAUUCGAACUGGUUAACUAGAGUACGAGAGAGGAAGCUGGAAUUCCUGGUGUAGGAGUGAAAUCCGUAGAUAUCAGGAGGAACACCAAUGGCGAAGGCAGGCUUCUGGCUCGUUACUGACACUGAGGCUCGAAAGCGUGGGGAGCGAACGGGAUUAGAUACCCCGGUAGUCCACGCCGUAAACGAUGGAUGCUAGCUGUUCGAGGUAUCGACCCCUGGAGUAGCGAAGCUAACGCGUUAAGCAUCCCGCCUGGGGAGUACGGUCGCAAGACUAAAACUCAAAGGAAUUGACGGG